GAUGAACGCUGGCGGCGUGCCUAAUACAUGCAAGUCGAGCGAACGGACGAGAAGCUUGCUUUUCUGAUGUUAGCGGCGGACGGGUGAGUAACACGUGGAUAACCUACCUAUAAGACUGGGAUAACUUCGGGAAACCGGAGCUAAUACCGGAUAAUAUUUUAAACCGCAUGGUUCAAAAGUGAAAGACGGUCUUGCUGUCACUUAUAGAUGGAUCCGCGCUGCAUUAGCUAGUUGGUAAGGUAACGGCUUACCAAGGCAACGAUGCAUAGCCGACCUGAGAGGGUGAUCGGCCACACUGGAACUGAGACACGGUCCAGACUCCUACGGGAGGCAGCAGUAGGGAAUCUUCCGCAAUGGGCGAAAGCCUGACGGAGCAACGCCGCGUGAGUGAUGAAGGUCUUCGGAUCGUAAAACUCUGUUAUUAGGGAAGAACAUAUGUGUAAGUAACUGUGCACAUCUUGACGGUACCUAAUCAGAAAGCCACGGCUAACUACGUG
rnacentral:rRNA from 1 species